AGAAGUGAUGUUAAGGAAAAACAUUUGAUAUUGUAUUCAGUGCACUCGUUGAGAAUUUCUUUAUCCUUGUUAUUUUCAUUGUUGAUCACCGUCAAUGCCCUUUUAAGCUGCUCAUUAUCUUUUCUGCAAAGUGGAAUUAAUUUUUCCUUUUGUUCCCUGAGUGUUAGGGAUUUACCUUACUUUAUUAUACAUGUUCCUUCUGCAGGUGGUGUACCAGGUAGUACCUACCUUACAGUAGGUACUUGUAAUCUGCCUUCCAAGGCUUUUGUGUACCUUCCUGUUAAAUGUUACUUGGAAUCAACAAAUGAAGCUGGAUGCAACUCCAUCCUUUUAUGCAGUUAUUAUCUCCACAGGCCAGAUUGUACGUGUCUCCCAGCAUACUCCUUACAGCAGUUUCCAUCACCCAUGAGCCCCUUGUUAUCACCGGUGUGCCUGCAUACCCACAUAUGUUCAAAAUGAAGCUACUGACUGCCAGCUCUGGGGAAAUAUUCAAAGGAGAAAAGAGCAGCUAACUAUAUAACUCCCACUGAGAGUCAGAAUGGGUGAGAACUUAGAAUACCAUAUCAUUAUGUAAGAGCAGUAAAAGAGCAAACGUCCAAACUACUUCCUGGGCUCCUGAGUUCUGAAUUAUUGCAAUGAGAUAUAAAACUCAGAAUGAGACAAAUGAAGAGAUGAGAAUCAUGUAUAAGCUUUUAUCUCCAGUUGGCUUCAGGAGGAGAUGCACAUGCCACGUAUAACAGCAGGCUGUGGGCCAUCCAGAUGUGAGAGUAGAGAAUUGAAGGAUCCGUCAGUGUGUUAUGACUCACAGGAAAUGGCACUUUGAAUGAUCUCCUUGCAGUUCAGCAUUGUGUGAGGACUGAACGGACGUGAAUCUACGGUUUGUUGGGAAUCAUUGUCAGAAAGUAAAGAAAGCCACACAGGUAGGCACUCAGGCAUUCUAGAAGCACUUACUUUCAUUUGUUAACAUUGGUUUUUAUUAGUUUCCAAGUUGCUUGGAAAUUUUCUUUGCAUUAUUUAUAUCUUAAGGAAGCAAGGACUGUUACUAGGAUUGAUUUACAUAGAAAAAGGUCCCCCAGAUGAGCAUCAGGCCUUGUGAAGUGUGUCCCAUGUCACAUCAUUCUGCUUUAUAAAUCAGAAUGUCUGUUUUCUCAACUUGCUAGAAUUAAAUCAUCGGGCUAUAUGGGCAGUGGUCAUUUGGACUGUGGUGAUUUCAGUAUCAGCUUCUCAUGAACACUAGAAUAGCAAAUCAGCGCAAAACACUCAGCUGCAUUCUAAGAGGGACUGACAGAAAACUCACUGCCAGGGAAAGAUAAAGUGAUAUCAUAGCCUAAAAGGAAAGAAAUCCCAUGUUGUCAGUUGGCACAGCUUUAUAAACUUCACAGGAGUUUAUGAGAACACCAGUCAUCUUCUUACCAAGCACAUAGCCUAUCUAAGGUUAUCUGUAUCCUGCAGUCUUUGA
rnacentral:lncRNA from 1 species